rnacentral:rRNA from 1 species
AACGAACGCUGGCGGCAGGCUUAUCACAUGCAAGUCGAGCGCCCCGCAAGGGGAGCGGCAGACGGGUGAGUAACGCGUGGGAAUCUACCCAUCUCUACGGAAUAACGCAUGGAAACGUGUGCUAAUACCGUAUACGUCCUUCGGGAGAAAGAUUUAUCGGAGAUGGAUGAGCCCGCGUUGGAUUAGCUAGUUGGUGGGGUAAAGGCCUACCAAGGCGACGAUCCAUAGCUGGUCUGAGAGGAUGAUCAGCCACACUGGGACUGAGACACGGCCCAGACUCCUACGGGAGGCAGCAGGGGGGAAUAUUGGACAAUGGGCGCAAGCCUGAUCCAGCCAUGCCGCGUGAGUGAUGAAGGCCCUAGGGUUGUAAAGCUCAUUCACCGGUGAAGAUAAUGACGGUAACCGGAGAAGAAGCCCCGGCUAACUUCGUGCCAGCAGCCGCCGUAACAC